UACGUAGGGCGCAAGCGUUGUCCGGAAUUAUUGGGCGUAAAGAGCUCGUAGGCGGUCUGUCGCGUCGGAUGUGAAAGUCCGGGGCUCAACUCCGGAUCUGCGGUGGGUACGGGCAGACUAGAGUGAUGUAGGGGAGACUGGAAUUCCUGGUGUAGCGGUGAAAUGCGCAGAUAUCAGGAGGAACACCGAUGGCGAAGGCGGGUCUCUGGGCAUUAACUGACGCUGAGGAGCGAAAGCAUGGGGAGCGAACAGG
rnacentral:rRNA from 1 species